rnacentral:rRNA from 1 species
CCACCUGAUCCCAUCCCGAACUCAGAAGUGAAACCGCUCAGCGCCGAUGGUAGUGUGGGGUCUCCCCAUGUGAGAGUAGGACAUCGUCAGGC